UCCGUUUUGCCUUCUGUGGACAGUUGUCCCAUUGGAUAUAGAACCGAAGUUUCGGGAAUGACAAAUCGGAUGCAUCUUGAAUCCACUUCUUCCCAGUGACAGUGGCUGCCUGAAGUCCUGAGAGGAGGAGGAUUCUGAGGGAUAGAGCUGGACUCAGAGAAGAAUCACCAAUAUGUAUAAAGAAUAAAUGAG